UUCUAUGGUCGGGCGACGUGUGGAAGCCGAAAGGCUUGCCUUGUGCUCUACGAGGUCUUGCAAACCCGCGUCCGCCCGGCCACCAGU
rnacentral:antisense_RNA from 1 species